AUCCUCUGAAGUUUAGUUUAUAUAUAUUUAUUAAAUGUUAUGAUAUCUUAUGUCGUAUCCGACGAUGAGUUUUUGAUCUUAGUAAAUCUGUAUCUAUUCGUAACUAGGAGAUUUUGAUAAAAUAUGAAUUUAAAACACAUGUGAGAUAACACAACAUGAUAUUCACGUCUGUGUCUCACACUGUCAUGAACAGGAAAGAUGGGGCUUUAAAUUCAAUUAAGUCAAGACAUAGAAAUAGCC
rnacentral:lncRNA from 1 species